rnacentral:rRNA from 2 species
AAAUUGAAGAGUUUGAUCAUGGCUCAGAUUGAACGCUGGCGGCAGGCCUAACACAUGCAAGUCGAACGGUAGCACAGAGAGCUUGCUCUCGGGUGACGAGUGGCGGACGGGUGAGUAAUGUCUGGGAAACUGCCUGAUGGAGGGGGAUAACUACUGGAAACGGUGGCUAAUACCGCAUAACGUCGCAAGACCAAAGAGGGGGACCUUCGGGCCUCUUGCCAUCAGAUGUGCCCAGAUGGGAUUAGCUUGUUGGUGAGGUAACGGCUCACCAAGGCGACGAUCCCUAGCUGGUCUGAGAGGAUGACCAGCCACACUGGAACUGAGACACGGUCCAGACUCCUACGGGAGGCAGCAGU